rnacentral:rRNA from 1 species
AGAGUUUGAUCAUGGCUCAGGACGAACGCUGACGGUGUGCUUUAGACAUGCAAGUCGAACGAGAAAGCCCUUCGGGGUUAGUACAGUGGCGAACGGGUGAGUAACACGUGGGCAAUCUGCCCCUCGCAGGGGGACAACCGGGGGAAACCCCGGCUAAUACCCCGUACGCUUGCGGAGUCGCAUGGCUCCGUAAGGAAAGGUAGCUUCGGCCAUCCGGCGAGGGAUGAGCCCGCGGUACAUUAGCUAGUUGGUGGGGUAACGGCCCACCAAGCCGGUGACGGGUCGCUGGUCUGUGAGGACGAUCAGCCAGACUGGGACUGCGAAACGGCCCAGACACCUACGGGUGGCAGCAGCGAGGAAUCUUCCACAAUGGGCGCAAGCCCGAUGGAGCAACGCCGCGUGGAGGACGACGGCCUUCGGGUUGUAAACUCCUUUCGGGGGGGAGGAAACGGACAGUACCCCCAGAAGCAGCCCCGGCUAACUCUGUGCCAGCAGCCGCGGUAAUACAGAGGGGGCAAGCGUUGUCCGGAAUUACUGGGCGUACAGCGUGCGCAGGCGGCCGUGUAUGUGCCGAGUGACAAGUCCGCGCUUAACGCGGAAGGGUCUCGGUAGACAGCAGGGCUGGAGGCCUUGAGAGGGAAGUGGAAUGCCCGGUGGAGCGGUGAAAUGCGUAGAGAUCGGGCGGAACACCAGGGGCGCAGGCGGCUUCCUGGCAAGGACCUGACGCUGAGGCACGAAAGCGUGGGGAGCGAACGGGAUUAGAUACCCCUGUAGUCC